rnacentral:lncRNA from 1 species
UCUUGCCAUCUUGCCCAGGCUGGUCUUGAAUUCCUAGGUUCAAGCAAUCCUCCUGCCUCAGCCUCCCAAAGGACUGAGAUCACAGUUGUGAGCCACCAUGCCUGGCCUAUUAUGGAAAUUAUUCAAUGAUGGACACCUUCUUGCUGUAUCCUCACAUGGUGGAGAGAGAAUGAGCAAGUUGUCUUGUGUCUCUUCUUAUAAGGAAAGUAAUCCUAUCAUGUAGGUCCCCUACUCAUGACCUCAUCUAAACCUGAUUACCUUCCAAAGGUCCCAUCUCCAAAUAUAAGCACAUAGAAGGUUAGGUCUUCAACAUGUGAAUUUGAGGGUACAUAAUUCAGUCAACAGCAUUCUGGUACUGGGCUCCAAAUUCAUGUCCUUCUCACAUGCAAAGUCUAUUAAUUCCACCACGACAUCACUAAAACUCUUGACUUGUUUCAGCAUCAGCUCUAACAUCUAAAGUCCAAAGAUUCAUCCAAAUAUCAUCUAAAUCAGACAUGAAUGAGACUCAAGGUAAAUUCAUUCUGAGGCAAAAUUUCUCUCCAGCUGUGAACCUAUGAAACCAGACAAAUUAUGUGCUCCCCAACUUCAAUGGUAGGAGAGGCAUAGAGUAGACAUUUCCAUUCCAAAUGGGAGAAAUAUGGAAGAAGGGAGAGGUGACAGGUCUCAAGCAAACCCAAAAUUUAGUAAGGCAAGUUUCAUUAGCUCUUAAGGUUGCAUAAUACCCUUCUUUGGUUAGAUGCUGUGCACUGCAGGCCAAAUAGGGUGGCAUCCUUAUCCCCUUGGCUCUUCUGAGGCAGACCCACACCUUAGCCUUGGUGGGAGAGCUCCAUCCACAGCAUUGGUCCUGCUCUUUUAAAACCAAGAUGGAGGAUGAAGCCUUGCUCCUGGGGUCUGUAUACUCUGGCUUGUGGUGAAAUUGGUAGUCGUGAUGAUUUCUAAAUGACCAUUGGGGUACUACUUCCUUUGACUGAAUUCAAUCCAUAGUACUGUAUUCCAUACCUUCUUCUCCUGAUCACAACUCCUUGCUUCAGAUCAGUAUCUGGGUUAAAAUUUUUAUUAAAUUUCUUAUUAAAAUAUUUUUUAUUCUUUUAGGAAUGUGCCAUAUUAUCACUGUUAAAAAUGCUCUUUGUUCUAAUCAAGGACUCGUGAAGAAUCUAUGAAAGAAGUUAACUAUGAAUGACCUCUACCCACCUCUAGGGAAAGCAAGUCAUGCCAACCUACAACAAGAUGAUGUGUUUAUUUGCCUGUCUCUUAUUUCGUGAAUCAACUACACAGAUGUUCCUCAACCAAGGAUGGGAUUACAACCCAAGAAACUCAUCAUAACCUGAAAAAAUCGUAAGUCAAAAGUGCAUCGUCAACUUAAAAUAUUUUUAACAUUUGAUGGGUUUAUCCAGACUUAACCCCAUUGUAAGUUGAAGAGCAUACUGAAUGCCUAUCACUUUUUGCACCACUGUAAAGUUAGUCAAACCUAUCAUAAAUCAGGGACCAUCUACACUAAAAAGAAGUAUUAGUUUGUAAAAAAUUUGUGCUUCAUUGGAAAAUUAUGCACUGCCUAGAGCAUAUCCUCCCAGGUUAUCUGAUUCUAUAGAAGUUAUUUCACAACUUUCUAAGUUUUAGAUAACUGGUGGCAAUGCAAAAUAAUUCUUACCUAUAGACAUAUAAAUUCUAUCUAUUGGAGGUUCAGUUGUCCCCAGUUGUGGACAUCCACCCAUUCAUUUUGUAGCAGGACGAGCUGCAGACAAAACCUCUCAGACACUGAGUUGUAGAAGGAAGGGAUUUAUUCAGCUGGGAGCAUCUGCCAGCUACGGUCUCAAAAUCCGAGCUCCCUGAAUGCACAAUUUCUGUUCCUUUUAAGGGCUCA